rnacentral:rRNA from 1 species
UACGUAGGGUGCAAGCGUUGUCCGGAAUUAUUGGGCGUAAAGAGCUCGUAGGCGGUCUGUCACGUCGGCUGUGAAAACCCGGGGCUCAACCCCGGGCCUGCAGUCGAUACGGGCAGACUAGAGGUAGGUAGGGGAGAAUGGAAUUCCUGGUGUAGCGGUGAAAUGCGCAGAUAUCAGGAGGAACACCGGUGGCGAAGGCGGUUCUCUGGGCCUUACCUGACACUGAGGAGCGAAAGCGUGGGGAGCGAACAGG